AAAUUUUUCUUUCAAAAUUAAUUACAACCGAAGAGAGAAAAAAACAAAGCCCUCCCCCCCUGUUUUGCUCUGCUAGGUUUGGACUCCUAGCAUCCUUGCGCCGCCAUUUCCCACGCGCCACGGCCCAAUCGUCGGCGGUGGCAACGACUCGUCGGCUCCGGUGAAAGAGGUACGUGCUUGAGGAGCGGUGUUUGCGGAGAAACGCCACGCGUGGAGGCCGAAACUUGCGGCGACUGGAGACUGCGGUGGCUACUUGCUGCUACUGCCUAGGGUUUCCUGAAAUUUUAACGUUUUUGGGCUAGGGUCUGUAUUGGGCUUAGGUUUAGUUUAUUGGGUUUGGGCCAAGGUUUAGUUUAUUUUUGUUUGGUAAUGGUCUGGGCCAAUUGGGCCUUAUUACAAUCUUAAUAUAAAAUAAAUUCUGGUUGUCAAAACGAAAUAUUUUUAUAAUAUUUUGUAAUAAAUAUAAUUUAUAUUA